rnacentral:rRNA from 1 species
CACGUAGGCACCAAGCGUUAUCCGGAUUUAUUGGGCGUAAAGGGUGCGUAGGCGGCGCGGUAAGUCGGGUGUGAAAUCUCGGAGCUUAACUCCGAAACUGCAUUCGAUACUGCCGUGCUUGAGGACUGGAGAGGAGACUGGAAUUUACGGUGUAGCGGUGAAAUGCGUAGAUAUCGUAAGGAAGACCAGUGGCGAAGGCGGGUCUCUGGACAGUUCCUGACGCUGAGGCACGAAGGUCAGGGGAGCAAACGGG